CGGGGGAGCAAGCGUUGUUCGGAUUUACUGGGCGUAAAGGGCGCGUAGGCGGUCAGCACAAGUCAGUUGUGAAAUCUCCGGGCUUAACUCGGAAAGGUCAACUGAUACUGUGCGACUAGAGUGCGGAAGGGGCAACUGGAAUUCUCGGUGUAGCGGUGAAAUGCGUAGAUAUCGAGAGGAACACCUGCGGCGAAGGCGGGUUGCUGGGCCGACACUGACGCUGAUGCGCGAAAGCCAGGGGAGCGAACGGGAUUAGAUACCCCGGUAGUCCUGGCCUUAAACGAUGGAUGCUUGGUGUCUGGAGUUUUAUAGUCUCCGGGUGCCGUAGCUAACGCGUUAAGCAUCCCGCCUGGGGAGUACGGUCGCAAGACUG
rnacentral:rRNA from 1 species